rnacentral:rRNA from 1 species
UACGGGGGGAGCAAGCGUUGUUCGGAUUUACUGGGCGUAAAGGGCGCGUAGGCGGCGCAACAAGUCACUUGUGAAAUCUCCGGGCUUAACUCGGAGCGGCCAAGUGAUACUGUCGUGCUAGAGUGCGGAAGGGGCUACUGGAAUUCUCGGUGUAGCGGUGAAAUGCGUAGAUAUCGAGAGGAACACCUGCGGCGAAGGCGGGUAGCUGGGCCGACACUGACGCUGAGGCGCGAAAGCCAGGGGAGCGAACGGG